rnacentral:rRNA from 1 species
GGGGCCCGCACAAGCGGCGGAGCAUGUGGAUUAAUUCGAUGCAACGCGAAGAACCUUACCUAGGCUUGACAUAUACAGGACGACGGCAGAGAUGUCGUUUCCCUUGUGGCUUGUAUACAGGUGGUGCAUGGUUGUCGUCAGCUCGUGUCGUGAGAUGUUGGGUUAAGUCCCGCAACGAGCGCAACCCCUGUCUCAUGUUGCCAGCACGUUAUGGUGGGGACUCGUGAGAGACUGCCGGGGUCAACUCGGAGGAAGGUGGGGAUGACGUCAAAUCAUCAUGCCCCUUAUGUCUAGGGCUUCACACAUGCUACAAUGGCUAGUACAGAGGGCUGCGAGACCGCGAGGUGGAGCGAAUCCCUUAAAGCUAGUCUCAGUUCGGAUUGGGGUCUGCAACUCGACCCCAUGAAGUCGGAGUCGCUAGUAAUCGCAGAUCAGCAUUGCUGCGGUGAAUACG